rnacentral:rRNA from 1 species
GAUGAACGCUGGCGGCGUGCCUAAUACAUGCAAGUCGAGCGAACAGACGAGGAGCUUGCUCCUCUGACGUUAGCGGCGGACGGGUGAGUAACACGUGGAUAACCUACCUAUAAGACUGGGAUAACUUCGGGAAACCGGAGCUAAUACCGGAUAAUAUAUUGAACCGCAUGGUUCAAUAGUGAAAGACGGUUUUGCUGUCACUUAUAGAUGGAUCCGCGCCGCAUUAGCUAGUUGGUAAGGUAACGGCUUACCAAGGCAACGAUGCGUAGCCGACCUGAGAGGGUGAUCGGCCACACUGGAACGGAGACACGGUCCAUACUCCUACGAGAGGCAGCAGUAGGGAAUCUUCCGCAAAGGGCGGAAGCCUGACGGAGCAACGCCGCGUGAGUGAUGAAGGUCUUCGGAUCGUAAAACUCUGUUAUUAGGGAAGAACAAAUGUGUAAGUAACUAUGCACGUCUUGACGGUACCUAAUCAGAAAGCCACGGCUAACUACGUG